UGCUGAUGAUGCGGAUAGUCCUCAAGAAAAGCUUUGAAUCUCUCCCAGGCAUAAUAUAAGUUCUCUUUUGCUGUCUGUUUAAAACUCACAAUCUCACUGCAUAAUUU
rfam:Capsicum annuum cultivar Zunla-1 chromosome 3, whole genome shotgun sequence